rnacentral:rRNA from 1 species
AUGGCAUUAGAUGUAGGAUGGGAACUGCUUUGGAAGAGUAUGAACAUUAAUCAAGAAAAUGAUGUGCAAAACCUUAGGCGUAUAGGCUUGGAAAUUGUGCGUAAAUGUGAUGGGCUUCCCCUUGCAAUCAAAGUUACUGCUAGUGUUGUAGAAACUAAAGAGAGAACUCAUAAUGAGUGGAGAAAGAUUAUGGAGAGAAGUGCAUGGUCUAUGUGCAAUCUUCCAAUCGAGCUCAGAAGUGCUCUACAUUUGAGUUAUGAUGAUCUGCCACGGCAUUUGAAGCCAUGCUUCCUCUGUUUGAUCUUAUACCCAGAAGAUCAGUACAUGUACCGAGAUGAUCUUAUCAGGCUUUGGGUUGCUGAAGGCUUUGUUGAGGAGAAGAAGACCAACUUCUGGAGGAUAUAG